GCGGUGGAGCAUGUGGUUUAAUUCGAUGGUACGCGAGAAACCGUUACCACGGGCUUGACAUACGCUGGAAGCGGUCCGAAAGGAUCGUGCCGCUUGCGGCCGGCGUACAGGUGCUGCAUGGCUGUCGUCAGCUCGUGCUGUGAAGUGUUGGGUUAAGUCCCGCAACGAGCGCAACCCCUGCAUUCAGUUGCCAUCGGUAAGGCCGGGCACUCUGGAUGGACUGCCGGCGACAAGCCGGAGGAGGGUGGGGACGACGUCAAGUCAUCAUGGCCCUUAUGUCCAGGGCGACACACGUGCUACAAUGGCCGGCACAACGGGAAGCGAAGGGGCGACCCUGAGCGGAUCCCACAAAAGCCGGUCUCAGUUCGGAUUGCAGUCUGCAACUCGACUGCAUGAAGCUGGAAUCGCUAGUAAUCGCGCAUCAGCCAUGGCGCGGUGAAUACGUUCCCGGGCCUU
rnacentral:rRNA from 1 species